AGAGUUUGAUCCUGGCUCAGGACGAACGCUGGCGGCGUGCCUAACACAUGCAAGUCGAGCGAUGAAGUUCCUUCGGGAAAUGGAUUAGCGGCGGACGGGUGAGUAACACGUGGGUAACUUGCCUUAUAGUGGGGGAUAGCCUUUCGAAAGGAAGAUUAAUACCGCAUAAGAUUGUAGUAUCGCAUGAUAUAGCAAUUAAAGGAGCAAUCCGCUAUAAGAUGGACCCGCGCCGCAUUAGCUAGUUGGUGAGGUAAUGGCUCACCAAGGCGACGAUGCGUAGCCGACCUGAGAGGGUGAUCGGCCACAUUGGGACUGAGACACGGCCCAGACUCCUACGGGAGGCAGCAGUGGGGAAUAUUGCACAAUGGGCGAAAGCCUGAUGCAGCAACGCCGCGUGAGUGAUGACGGCCUUCGGGUUGUAAAACUCUGUCUUCAGGGACGAUAAUGACGGUACCUGAGG
rnacentral:rRNA from 1 species